AUUGAACGCUGGCAGCAUGCCUUACACAUGCAAGUCGAACGGUAACAGGUUAAGCUGACGAGUGGCGAACGGGUGAGUAAUAUAUCGGAACGUGCCCAGCCGUGGGGGAUAACGUAGCGAAAGCUACGCUAAUACCGCAUACGAUCUACGGAUGAAAGCGGGGGAGCGCAAGACCUCGGGCGAUUGGAGCGGCCGAUAUCAGAUUAGCUAGUUGGUGAGGUAAAGGCUCACCAAGGCGACGAUCUGUAGCUGGUCUGAGAGGACGACCAGCCACACUGGAACUGAGACACGGUCCAGACUCCUACGGGAGGCAGCAGUGGGGAAUUUUGGACAAUGGGCGCAAGCCUGAUCCAGCAAUGCCGCGUGCAGGAUGAAGGCCUUCGGGUUGUAAACUGCUUUUGUACGGAACGAAACGGUGAGCUCUAAUACAGUUUGCUAAUGACGGUACCGUAAGAAUAAGCACCGGCUAACUACGUGCCAGCAGCCGCCGUAA
rnacentral:rRNA from 1 species